UACGUAGGGCGCAAGCGUUAUCCGGAAUUAUUGGGCGUAAAGAGCUCGUAGGCGGUUUGUCGCGUCUGCCGUGAAAGUCCGGGGCUCAACUCCGGAUCUGCGGUGGGUACGGGCAGACUAGAGUGAUGUAGGGGAGACUGGAAUUCCUGGUGUAGCGGUGAAAUGCGCAGAUAUCAGGAGGAACACCGGUGGCGAAGGCGGAUCUCUGGGCCAUUACUGACGCUGAGGAGCGAAAGCGUGGGGAGCGAACAG
rnacentral:rRNA from 1 species